rnacentral:rRNA from 1 species
GUCGUAACAAGGUUUCCGUAGGUGAACCUGCGGAAGGAUCAUUAUUGUAGGUGCCUCCGGGCCCGUAAACACAAUAACCCUUGUCUUUUUUUGUGCACCCUUUGUUUCCUCGGCAGCUUUGCCUGCCAACGAGGACCCCCCCAAAAACCUUUUGCAAUCCAGUAUAACCAUCUGAAAACAAACAAUAUUAAAACUUUCAACAAUGGAUCUCUUGGCUCUGGCAUCGAUGAAGAACGCAGCGAAAUGCGAUAAGUAGUGUGAAUUGCAGAAUUCAGUGAAUCAUCGAAUCUUUGAACGCACAUUGCGCCCUUUGGUAUUCCUUAGGGCAUGCCUGUUCGAGCGUCAUUUACAAAUUCAAGCUCAGCUUGGUGAUGGGUGUCUGUCCCGCCUUUGCGUGUGGACUCGCCUCAAAUGCAGUUGGCAGCUUGUUCCUCGGCUCUAAACGCAGCAGAUUUGCGUCGAGCGUCGGGCGGACGGGCUCUCCAGUAAGCAAACCCUCAUAAAUUGACCUCGGAUCAGGUAGGGAUACCCGCUGAACUUAAGCAUAUCAAUAAGCGGAGGAAAAGAAACCAACAGGGAUUGCCCCAGUAACGGCGAGUGAAGCGGCAACAGCUCAAAUUUGAAAUCUGGCUCCUUUGGAGUCCGAGUUGUAAUUUGUAGAGGGUGCUUUGGCGUUGGUUGUGGUCUAAGUUCCUUGGAACAGGACGUCACAGAGGGUGAGAAUCCCGUACGUGGCCGCCAGCCUCCGCCGUGUAAAGCCCCUUCGAUGAGUCGAGUUGUUUGGGAAUGCAGCUCUAAAUGGGAGGUAAAUUUCUUCUAAAGCUAAAUAUUUGCCAGAGACCGAUAGCGCACAAGUAGAGUGAUCGAAAGAUGAAAAGCACUUUGGAAAGAGAGUCAAAAAGCACGUGAAAUUGUUGAAAGGGAAGCGCUUGCAGCUAGACGUGCCUUGGGUUGAUCAGCCGGACUUUUGCCCGGUGCACUCUUCCUUUGGCAGGCCAGCAUCAGUUUGGGCGGCUGGAUAAAGGUCUGUUAAACGUGACUUCCUUCGGGGAGAGCUUAUAGGGCAGACGACAUGCAGCCAGCCUGAACUGAGGUCCGCGCAUCUGCUAGGAUGCUGGCAUAAUAGCUGUAAGCGGCC